rnacentral:lncRNA from 1 species
GUAAACUUCCUCAUAAGAUACAGUGGAUGACAAUGAUUAUAUAUGUAUUUAGUAAUCUUUGAAGCAUGUGAAACUGUCUCACUGACUUCAUUCAACUUUCCAAUAUCUUGCAACAUCAAAUUAAUACAAUGCACAGCACAAGGAGACCAAUACAACUUAGGGAAUUCAGCUUCCAACAACCUUCCAGCAGCAACAUAAUUUGCAGCAACAUAAUUUGCAGCAUUGUCCGUCACUAUAUGAACAACAUUUUCAGGACCGACAAAGUUGACAACAUCCUUAAAAAGC